AAUAAUGUAGGACAACUAGUUCCUUUCAAAAGUUUUGAAGAAUAGAAAAAAACUUCACAGGCUUUCUUCCUUCUAAGUCACUAGUUAUAGGGGCUCUAGCAAAGCCCAAAGCAAUUGUUUUAUUUUAUUUUAUUUUUUUGUUUGUUUGUUUAUUGUCUUUUUAGGGCCAUACCUGCAGCUUGUGGAAGUUCCCAGGCUAGGAGUCGAAUCAGCGCUUCAACCUACACUGUGGCUCAUGGCAACACUGGAUUAACUAGUAUGGAUACUAGUCGGGUUCAUUAUCCCUGAGCCACAACGGGAACUCCCCCAAAGCAUUUCUUUUAGGUCACUGAAUGCUGUGUGUUUGCGUUGUUCAGAUUAGGUUUCGGCCGAUCCUAUCUCUGGCAGAAUGAUUUUCAUCUUCUGAGAGGUGAGUUAAUUGUGGAUUGUUGAUGCUCGUGCUGAUAGUGCCUGAUAAAGAAGGUUACUCCCAUCUGCCUUUCCCUUGCCCCCUCCCCCAGCCAAGGCUGCUGAACAAGCUGGUGCCAUGGGGAGGUAGAACAGGGGAAGAUGGAAUGAGGUGAGGAACCUCCUUUCUCUGAGGCUGGAGGGUCAGAGGAUCUGGGAAGGGGAGGAGAAACCCUCCUGCUUGUCUUGGAACCCAACCAGGGAAGAAGGAGGAAAUGCAACAUUUCUCCCAAACAGCACUAUCCAAAAGAAUUUUCUGCAAUGAUGGAAAUGUUUACACAGUCCAAAAUGGCUAUAAAAAUGUGGCUGUUUACAUUUAAAUUUUAAUUAAAAUUCAGGCUUUUUGUGUGUUUGUUUCUUAGUGCUAGUCUAUUGCAAUAACCACUUUUCAAGUGCCCUGUACUGAUGGGUGGCUAGUAGCUACCAUACUGGACAGCAUAUAAGACAUUUCCUUCAUCAUGGGAAGUUCAAUGGAACAGCAGUGCCUAGAUGCCAGGAUUGGAGUGAGAAGUUCAGAGCCGCUGUGCAGUUUGGGGGCUCUCUGACCCAGCUAGCGCUUCUUCUGAGAACACAUCUGAGAUAAGAUUACAUUUACCUGGACAGUAGGAAAGAGAGAGAAGCUACUGGUUUAUUCAUCUGACCAGAUGUUCAGUAUGACCAGAAAAACGGUGAGAAAUUCCCCCUGGUCUGACCCACAGUCUUCAUGACCUACCUUUUCUUAAUCCUAUAGGAUCAGCUCACAGGUUCUACUGAUUUUAGUAACACUGAGCUUCGUUUCCCAGUUAAUUUCUUCAAAAUCUUUCAAAUGAAUGCUCAGACUUUCAUGUCACUUGUUUCUGAAGUAUGAGUUUGGGUUUAGCAUUUUGUUUCUCCAUAUCAAAUGUAAAUAAUAUCAUUUGACUUUCAUAAUGUUAAGAGCUGACAUACAUCUCUUACCUGUCUCUGAACAGCUGGAGGCAGAGAUGUGAGGGACGCAUUGAUGGUUAUUGAGUUCCUAUAAUGUCCUGGGCCCUGUGUAUAAUAUAUUUCAUCCCAUUCUCACAGGACCUGUUUUCCAGAUGAGAGAAAGUGGCUCAGAGGGGUUAAAUAAAUUGUCCAAUAGUAUGCAAUUAGGAAACUGUGCUGGUAUAUGAAGCCAGGUCUGCCUAACUCUGGGGCAGAUUGCAAAAACAGUUGGGAUUCUCCAGCACUGUUUCCAUACCCUUUGCAAUGUGAAUCAGCUCCCCCCCUUCGGAAGUGGGGCCUGCUUCCUGACCCCUUGAAUCAGGGCUAGUCUGGUGACUGUUUUAGCCAAUGGGAAGAGGAAAAGUGGUGGGCCAACACUGAGUCUAGACCCCAGGGGGCCAUGCCCCACUGGCUCUUAGAACCCCUCAUCACUGUGAGAAGGAGCCUGAGCUAGCCUGUUGGAAGAUGACUGGACACAUAUGGCCAAGCUCAUUUAGCUCAGUCAGCUCAGCCAAGACCCCAAACACCAGGAGAGCCAAGCUAAGAUUAGCAAAACUGGCUACUACACUCACAGCAGGCUUCAGCAGUAUGAGCUAGCCAACCAAGGCCAGCUCAGAUCAGCAGAAUGGCCCAGCCAACCUGCAUACUCACACACAAAAAUAAAGGUUUCCACAGAGUUCCCAUUGUGGCUCAGGGGUAAUGAACCUGACUAGGAUCCAUGAGGACAUGGGUUCAAUCUCUGGCCCCUGUCAGUGGGUUAAGGGUCCAGUGUUGCCAUGAGCUGUGGUUUAGGUCACACAUGCUGCUUGGAUUUGGCGUUGCUGUGGCUGUGGCAUAGGCUGGCAGCUGCAGCUCUAAUUCAACCCCUAGCCUGGAAACUUCCAUAUGCCAGAGGUGCAGCCCUAAAAAAAAAAAAAAAAAAAAAAA
rnacentral:lncRNA from 1 species